rnacentral:rRNA from 1 species
GACGAACGCUGGCGGCGUGCUUAACACAUGCAAGUCGAACGGAAAGGCCCUGCUUUUGUGGGGUGCUCGAGUGGCGAACGGGUGAGUAACACGUGAGUAACCUGCCCUUGACUUUGGGAUAACUUCAGGAAACUGGGGCUAAUACCGGAUAGGAGCUCCUGCUGCAUGGUGGGGGUUGGAAAGUUUCGGCGGUUGGGGAUGGACUCGCGGCUUAUCAGCUUGUUGGUGGGGUAGUGGCUUACCAAGGCUUUGACGGGUAGCCGGCCUGAGAGGGUGACCGGCCACAUGGGGACUGAGGUACGGCCCAGACUCCUACGGGAGGCAGCAGUGGGGAAUAUUGCACAAUGGGCGGAAGCCUGAUGCAGCAACGCCGCGUGCGGGAUGACGGCCUUCGGGUGGUAAACCGCUUUCGCCUGUGACGAAGCGUGAGUGACGGUAAUGGGUAAAGAAGCACCGGCUAACUACGUG